GUAGGUGAACCUGCGGAAGGAUCAUUAACGCAUCUCUGGCGGCGAGGGUGCGCCCUGCUCCGGACCGAAAGGCCGUGCAGCGGGCUAUCCCGGACCGCUAAACCUUUGCAAACCCACCGUGCACUUUUGUCGGCAAAAGGGCCUUUGCGGGCCCCGAGCCGGAUCACAAACACUUUGUUAAACGAAUGCAAGCGGACAUUGAGCCGCCUAAACAUUAAACAACUUUCAACAACGGAUCUCUUGGCUCUCG
rnacentral:misc_RNA from 1 species